AGGAAGGGUUGUGACAACUUGGUUGUUGGAACUUCCCAUUGACAUUGGAAAGGAGACGGCCUCGCAAACUCCUCCUGGAGCAACUU
rnacentral:ribozyme from 17 species